ACGUAAGGGGCGAGCGUUGUUCGGAUUUAUUGGGUGUAAAGGGCGCGUAGGCGGUUUAGCAAGUCUGGUGUUGAAGGCAACAGCUUAACUGUUGUUUGGCGCUGGAAACUGGUAGACUUGAGUUUAGGAGGGGGAGCUGGAAUUCCAGGUGUAGGGGUGAAAUCUGUAGAUAUCUGGAAGAACACCGGUGGCGAAGGCGAGCUCCUGGCCAUAGACUGACGCUGAGGCGCGAAAGCGUGGGGAGCGAACAG
rnacentral:rRNA from 1 species